CUACGGGGUGCUGCAGUGAGGAAUAUUGCACAAUGGGGGGAACCCUGAUGCAGCAACGCCGCGUGGAGGAUGACGCAUUUCGGUGUGUAAACUCCUUUUAUAUGUCAAGAAAAUGACGGUAGCAUAUGAAUAAGCACCGGCUAACUCCGUGCCAGCAGCCGCGGUAAUACGGAGGGUGCAAGCGUUACUCGGAAUCACUGGGCGUAAAGGACGCGUAGGCGGGUUGGAAAGUCAGGUGUGAAAUCCUACAGCUUAACUGUAGAACUGCACUUGAAACUUCUAAUCUAGAGUAUGGGAGGGGGGGAUGGAAUUAGUGGUGUGGGGGUAAAAUCCGUAGAUAUCACUAGGAAUACCUAAAGCGAAGGCGAUCUCCUGGAACAUUACUGACGCUAAGGCGUGAAAGCGUGGGGAGCAAACAGGAUUAGAUACCCGCGUAGUC
rnacentral:rRNA from 1 species